rnacentral:rRNA from 1 species
AAAGGAAUAGACGGGGGCCCGCACAAGCGGUGGAGCAUGUGGUUUAAUUCGAAGCAACGCGAAGAACCUUACCAGGUCUUGACAUCUUCUGCCAGGCUGAGAGAUCAGCUGUUCCCUUCGGGGACAGAAUGACAGGUGGUGCAUGGUUGUCGUCAGCUCGUGUCGUGAGAUGUUGGGUUAAGUCCCGCAACGAGCGCAACCCUUAUGAUCAGUUGCCAGCAUUCAGUUGGGCACUCUGGUCAGACUGCCGGUGACAAACCGGAGGAAGGCGGGGAUGACGUCAAAUCAUCAUGCCCCUUAUGACCUGGGCUACACACGUGCUACAAUGGGUGGUACAACGAGCAGCGAGACCGCGAGGUCAAGCGAAUCUCUAAAAACCAUCCUCAGUUCGGAUUGCAGGCUGCAACUCGCCUGCAUGAAGCUGGAAUCGCUAGUAAUCGCGGAUCAGCACGCCGCGGUGAAUACGUUCCCGGGCCUUGUACACACCGCCCGU